GAUGAACGCUAGCGGCAGGCCUAAUACAUGCAAGUCGGACGGGAUUCAGGAGCUUGCUUCUGAUGAGAGUGGCGCACGGGUGCGUAACACGUAUGUAACCUACCUUUAUCAGGGGGAUAGCCUCUCGAAAGAGAGAUUAAGCCCGCAUAAAAUCACAGCACAGCAUUGUGUAAUGAUCAAAUAUUUAUAGGAUAAAGAUGGGCAUGCGGAACAUUAGCUAGAUGGCGGGGUAACGGCCCACCAUGGCGACGAUGUUUAGGGGAUCUGAGAGGAUGGCCCCCUACACUGGUACUGAGACACGGACCAGACUCCUACGGGAGGCAGCAGUAAGGAAUAUUGGUCAAUGGGCGGAAGCCUGAACCAGCCAUGCCGCGUGCAGGAAGACGGCCCUACGGGUUGUAAACUGCUUUUAUACGGGAAUAAACCCAGAUACGUGUAUCUGGCUGAAUGUACUGUAAGAAUAAGGAUCGGCUAACUCCGUG
rnacentral:rRNA from 1 species